rnacentral:lncRNA from 1 species
UGCGGAGGUAUGAAUAAUAAUAAGGUGAUGCGGAAAUAUUUGUAUAGUUAAGCAGUAUUGCGGAGGUAUGAGUAUGUAAUUGGUAAUGUGGAGGAAUAAUGAAAAGUCAUGAAUGGAAUAAACAACUGAAGUAGAUUAUGAUUUAUGAAAAUGAAAUGUGAAUGGGCCUUUGUGCCGAAGCGCUAAUGCGGAAGUGCCCGCCUAACUGAUAGCUUGAGAUUGCUAAUGCGGGAAUGUCCAUCUAACUGAUAGCAUAUUGUAUGUUGAAUGGGCCUUUGUGCUAAAUUGCUAAUGCGAAAGGGCCCGCCUAACGGAUAGCCUGAGAUUGCUAAUGCGGGAAUGUUCGCCUAAUUGAUAGCACUGUUUCUUACUGUGAUACACAUUAUUAUGAUGAGGCCUAAUUGACACGAGUAAUUGUGAUGCCAAGGUGUCUAAUUGACACAGUAGAGAAACCAUAUUCGGCGUUCGCUCCGAGUAAUGUCGGGUUGCGGGUAGACAACCGACGCAUGAGCUCAUGGCCUGCUUAGGAGAGACAUGCAUCAUAUUGAUUGCGUAUUUGCAUUUGGUCUUGUUUUGCUUGUUAUAUUUUCUCUGUGAUUGUGCUG